CCCACACCUGCCUUAUCCCCUCGAUCUCCUUCUUCUGUCCUCCACCAACAAGACACAGACUCCAUUUUUGCCCCCAAAAACUCAGAGUUAAGCACCACCCCACCUCACACACUAGCCAUGGCCGUACAUCGUUGUGUUUUGAUUCCAUCCAGCUCUCAGCCACCCCGUUCCUCGUGGCCGGCCAGCAACCUCCUCAGCUCUUCUUUUCCCAUCUGGUGUGAUGCUGGGACAAUGGGUGCCCACAAAUGUUGUGACCGUAGUCAACGUUUGCUGGAACUAGCCUGUAGAUUUGCUACCAUCGGCGGUCAUCAAUUUUUUCGCUCGACCCCAACAUCGGCGUUUAGCUACGACUUGGGCAGCACCUUGCUGGAACUAGCGUCGUCAUUUGCUACAACUGGCCAGGCGGCGUGCUGGAAGUAGUGUUCAUCGGUGCUGGAACAGGAUGAGCCCCUUGCCGUCGACAAUUUUUUUUGCUGGAACCUGCUAGUUUGUUUGCUAAAAUCUUUUUCUUUGGAGUUUGCUAAUGUGACUUUUGUUGCAUUUGGUGUUAAUUUUAGCUGGAACUGACUUUUUUUUUGCUUCAACUGACAAUUAGAAGAUUUUGCUACUGAGAUUUUUUCGCUGGAUCAGUCGCUUUUGUUUUGUUACAACUAAUGUUUUUUUUAGCUGGAACCGACUAAAUGUUUUGCUUCAACUGAACAUUUUGGUUUUUGCUACAGAGGUUUUUGCUGGAGCACGGCUAUGCUAGUGAUGGUGCGGCGAGCCGGAGCUAGUGGUGGGCGAGUUCUUGUUACAACCAUGGCUGCGGUGCACUGGAACCGGUUAUCAGUUGAAGCUUUGCACACAACAUAUGACCGUGCUGCAACCCCGGCGUCCGUGAGAAGAGGGACAACAAGCUGGCAGCGGCGCUGGUGCUGCUGGGGCCGACGACGCUGACGACCGCCGAAUCUAGCGAAGGAGCAGCCCGACAGAGGAGGCGUGGUGUGGGGCGGCGAUUGCACAGUGUCGGGGGGUUGGGAAGUUGGGGACGAAGAAGAGGAUCAGAUCUGACGGUUACGCAUAAAAAAAAUCAAACGGACAGGGUGCGACCGACCCAAAUUUGGGCCGGUGCACCGGCGCCUAAUAGUCGCCUUUCUCUACGAGUUCAGGGUUUGCACCCGAUCCGCUUUCUCUCUUGUAUAGUGGCGAUCGAUCCCCUUCCCCACCUACUACUCUUCUUCCCCCCUCAUCCCGGUCCCCUUUCUCCCUUGUGGCGAUCGAUCCCCUUCCCCUAGGGUUCUGGCCAUCACAUCCACUCCUCAACCGCCCGGGGAGCCAAGAUCAGCUCCUCGACCACAGGAGGAACCAAGCCCCGAUCCUCUACCGCUGGAGGGACCAAACCCCGCUCCUCCACUGCGGACGGGAACGAGUUCCCCAGCGAGGACGACAGUAGCGAGCUCCACCCCAGGACUGGUGGCCAUGACGAGGGAGCGAAGUACUGGCAAGAAGCGGUCAGGGACCAAGCGGAACCAGGGCGGCAGCAGAGGGAACGAGGAGGAGAAGCCCGUGCCUGGGGCGAAGGAGGAGAAGCUGCCACCGAAGCUGUCCACCGACGCUCUGUUUCCAGGGGACAAGGGAGAGAUCAGGGCCAUGGAGGGGAAGAAGCCAACGCCGCAGAUGGUGUUCAUGGCAGAGAAGGAGGAGACAGUAAACAACGAAUCAGGGGUUUGGAAGAGAAAUCAGUCUACGGAUGUGGCGUCUCCUGGGGACAGCGGAGGAAUCACGAGGAGAGAUGGCAAGGGGGUGAAGGAGAAAAAGCCGGCAGCAAAGACUCACAACAACGACAGCAGAGCGAAGCGGCACCAGGGCGGCAGCAGAGGGGAGGAGGAGAAGCCAGUGCCUGUGGCGAAGGGGAAGAAACUGCCACCGAAGCACUCCACGUACGCUCUGUUCCCAGUGGACAAGGGAGAGAGUAGGGGGGGUGAGGGUGAGAAGCCAGCACCACAGAUGGUGUUAACGGCAAAGCAGGAGGAGGUGGUAAACGCCGAGGCAGGGAAGAAGCGGAAGCAAUCCCCAGAGGAGGAUGAGGGGCAGAGCAGAGGGGUGAAGCCAUUAGGAACCAGGCACAUGGAGAAGUUGGAAGCAGAGAUACAGGUGCUGCCCGAGGAGGUGGUAAACACCAAGGCAGGGAAGAAGCGGAAGCAAUCCCCAGAGGAGGAUGAGGGGCAGAGCAGAGGGGCGAAGUCAUUAGGAACCAGGCACAUGGAGAAGUCGGAAGCAGAGAUACAGGUGCUGCCAAAGGGCGAUAAUGUCGAUGGCAAAGAGAAGAAAAAGAAAGGGAAAAGAAUCCGGAGGAGUAAACUAAAGAAGGACCGGCUUAUCACCCGCGCUGCACAACGAAAUAUGUUUGGAUCGGCUUUGAAGGAUGAAUUUCCUGUGUUAAAAGAUGGCUCAAAACCAAAAGUACUGAUAACAGCAUGCCAGUAUAUUAUGGACAAGCAAGGACCUUCAUCUUCAUUUAUUCAUGAGCUAAUGCAACUCAUUCCAGAUGCAUGCUAUAUUCAUCGGACGAAUGUUUGCCUCGAUGAAGUGGUUGAGUAUGCGAAUGAAAGAAAAUUUACUUCACUUAUUGUUGCUCUUUCUGAUGGCUUAAAAAUUAUCAACUUGCCUGAUGGUCCCCUUGCACACCUUGAGCUCUCUGAGUUUACUCCACGAAAGGACAUAAAGAAUCAUGGGGAGCCAAUAAGUCGUGAGCCAGAGUUAGUGUUUAAUAAUUUUGAAGCACAUCUUGGCUAUCGUCUUCAAAGGUUGAUAUCGUCUCUUUUCCCUCAAGCUGAUUUCAAUAAACGGCAAGUGUUCACAUUUGAACUGAAGCAACAGCAUAUACUGUUCCGUAAUCACAGCUAUGUUGUAUGUUGUAAAAUCUUCAAAUAUUCAGCUAUCAUAUUGAACACUAUGUUGUUACUUGGAAUCUUUUGCAAGCAUUGAGAACAGCGAGGAUCAAAAUUCUGUUGUGCAAGUGUGCAUAGUAAAUGCUAAUCUGUGGUCGUACGAGAUGGCAUUGAGGGCUAGAAAUUAUAUUGACCCACUACACGAUGAAGCAAGAUUAAGGAAUACAAGAAAAUGGGAGUGGGUAUGGUUUUACACUUUACCUCGAACAGUUGGUGGGUGAGUAAAUGGGAGGAUAGGCUCUCCUACUGACCUUGCCCAAAUGUGGAUCAAAGAGAGGGAUUAUGGGGCAACAUACAGGGGCCGGCAGUGUUGGCCUUCUCAUCAGAUUGAGGUGGGCGGAAACGUGGUUGGGCCUAGAGAUAUUGGGACAGGGGCAGAGGAUGAAACGACAUGCAAUGCAAGACAAAAGGAUGGUAGGGACAUAAGUCGAAUUAUGAGCAGUGCGAAACCGGGUCAAAGCGACUUAUUAUCACCAGCAACUGAAAAAUUUCAUUUUCUACAUACAUUUUAUGUAGUGGAUUACAUACAUCUACCUUAAUGAAGGAAAUCAUAUAUGUUUGUUCUCCAGUUAAUAAUGGGUGCAUUUCCUUAUUAUAUGGUACUUGUAUGAAAUGAAAGAAGAAUUGAGGGAUGGAAAUACUGGUACUUUUCCAGGAGUCAAAUUGAAAGCUUCUGAUGUAACUUGUCACCUACUAGUAAGUGAGCUAGCUGUAGAUUUUCGCAAUGUAAUUGAAGCCAGAUGGCUGCACUGUACGAUGACUACAUCAUUAGCUGUAAACCUAAAUUGUUCAUUAUAACAUACGAAUGUGGACCUCGUUUCACUCUUA